rnacentral:rRNA from 1 species
GACGGAGGAUGCAAGUGUUAUCCGGAAUCACUGGGCGUAAAGCGUCUGUAGGUGGUCAAAUAAGUCAACUGUUAAAUCUUGAGGCUUAACCUCAAAAUCGCAGUCGAAACUAUUAGACUAGAGUAUAGUAGGGGUAAAGGGAAUUUCCAGUGGAGCGGUGAAGUGCGUAGAGAUUGGAAAGAACACCGAUGGCGAAGGCACUUUACUGGGCUAUUACUAACACUCAGAGACGAAAGCUAGGGUAGCAAAUGGG